UGAGGGAAAGGCGAAAAGAACCCCGGCGAGGGGAGUGAAAAAGAACCUGAAACCGUGUACGUACAAGCAGUGGGAGCCCCACCACUAAGCCAGUGGUGAACUCCACAUACGCAUCCUUUGCUGAGGAUACGGUUAACGGAGCGCAAGCGACGUUCAACCGCAAAAGAAGCAGAGGGGGCUUAGUGGUGGGGUGACUGCGUACCUUUUGUAUAAUGGGUCAGCGACUUAUAUUCUGUAGCAAGGUUAACCGUAUAGGGGAGCCGUAGGGAAACCGAGUCUUAACCGGGCGUUAAGUUGCAGGGUAUAGACCCGAAACCCGGUGAUCUAG
rnacentral:rRNA from 1 species